rnacentral:rRNA from 1 species
UGGGGAAUUUUGGACAAUGGGGGAAACCCUGAUCCAGCCAUCCCGCGUGUUCGAUGAAGGCCUUCGGGUUGUAAAGCACUUUUGGCAGGAAAGAAACGUCAUGGGUUAAUACCCCGUGAAACUGACGGUACCUGCAGAAUAAGCACCGGCUAACUACGUGCCAGCAGCCGCGGUAAUACGUAGGGUGCAAGCGUUAAUCGGAAUUACUGGGCGUAAAGCGUGCGCAGGCGGUUCGGAAAGAAAGAUGUUAAAUCCCAGAGCUCAACUUGGGAACUGCAUUUUUAACUACCGGGCUAGAGUGUGUCAGAGGGAGGUGGAAUGCCGCGUGUAGCAGUGAAAUGCGUAGAUAGGCGGAGGAACACCGAUGGCGAAGGCAGCCUCCUGGGAUAACACUGACGAUCAUGCACGAAAGCGUGGGGAGCAAGCAGG